rnacentral:rRNA from 1 species
CUACAGGCUUAACACAUGCAAGUCGAGGGCUUGCAUGAACUUAGCUUGCUAAGUUUGAUGGCGACCGGCGCACGGGUGAGUAACACGUAUCCAACCUGCCGAUGACUCGGGGAUAGCCUUUCGAAAGAAAGAUUAAUACCCGAUGGCAUAGUUCUUCCGCAUGGUAGAACUAUUAAAGAAUUUCGGUCAUCGAUGGGGAUGCGUUCCAUUAGGUUGUUGGCGGGGUAACGGCCCACCAAGCCUUCGAUGGAUAGGGGUUCUGAGAGGAAGGUCCCCCACAUUGGAACUGAGACACGGUCCAAACUCCUACGGGAGGCAGCAGUGAGGAAUAUUGGUCAAUGGACGAGAGUCUGAACCAGCCAAGUAGCGUGAAGGAUGACUGCCCUAUGGGUUGUAAACUUCUUUUAUACGGGAAUAAAGUGAGGCACGUGUGCCUUUUUGUAUGUACCGUAUGAAUAAGGAUCGGCUAACUCCGUGCCAGCAGCCGCGGUAAUACGGAGGAUCCGAGCGUUAUCCGGAUUUAUUGGGUUUAAAGGGAGCGUAGGCGGACGCUUAAGUCAGUUGUGAAAGUUUGCGGCUCAACCGUAAAAUUGCAGUUGAUACUGGGUGUCUUGAGUACAGUAGAGGCAGGCGGAAUUCGUGGUGUAGCGGUGAAAUGCUUAGAUAUCACGAAGAACUCCGAUUGCGAAGGCAGCCUGCUGGACUGUAACUGACGCUGAUGCUCGAAAGUGUGGGUAUCAAACAGGAUUAGAUACCCUGGUAGUCCACACAGUAAACGAUGAAUACUCGCUGUUUGCGAUAUACAGUAAGCGGCCAAGCGAAAGCGUUAAGUAUUCCACCUGGGGAGUACGCCGGCAACGGUGAAA